CCUACGGGAGGCAGCAGUGAGGAAUAUUGGUCAAUGGCCGGAAGGCUGAACCAGCCAUGCCGCGUGAAGGUCAGUGCCCUAUGGGCGUUAAACUUCUUUUGUGCGGGAGCAAUAAUGGUCACGUGUGGCCAGACGAGAGUUCCGUACGAAUAAGCAUCGGCUAACUCCGGGCCAGCAGCCGCGGUUAUACGGGGGAUGCAAGCGUUAUCCGGGUUUAUGGGGUUUAAAGGGUGCGUAGGCUGUGUGGUAAGUCAGCGGUGAAAUGCCGCCGCUCAACGGGGUGAAGUGCCAUUGAUACUGCCUUGCUGGAGUACGGAUGCCGUGGGAGGAAUGUGUGGUGUAGCGGUGAAAUGCAUAGAUAUCACACAGAACACCGAUUGCGAAGGCAUCUCACGAAUCCGCGAUUGACGCUGAUGCACGAAAGCGUGGGUAUCAAACAGGAUUAGAUACCCCGGUAGUC
rnacentral:rRNA from 1 species